AGGACGAACGCUGGCGGCGUGCUUAACACAUGCAAGUCGAACGGAAAGGCCCUGCUUUUGUGGGGUGCUCGAGUGGCGAACGGGUGAGUAACACGUGAGUAACCUGCCCUUGACUUUGGGAUAACUUCAGGAAACUGGGGCUAAUACCGGAUAGGAGCUCCUGCUGCAGUGGUGGGGGUUGAAAGUUUCGGCGGUUGGGGAUGGACUCGCGGCUUAUCAGCUUGUUGGUGGGGUAUGGCUUACCGAGGCUUUGACGGGUAGCCGGCCUGAGAGGGUGACCGGCCACAGUUGGGACUGAGAUACGGCCCAGACUCCGUACGGGAGCAGCAGGUGGGAAUAGUGCACGAAGUGGGCGGAAGCCUGAUGCAGCGAACGCGCGUGACGGGAUGGACGGUCCUUAGGGUUACGUAACCGUCGUUUCGGCCUAGGU
rnacentral:rRNA from 1 species